rnacentral:rRNA from 1 species
UGGGGAAUAUUGCACAAUGGGCGAAAGCCUGAUGCAGCAACGCCGCGUGAGUGAUGAAGGCCUUCGGGUUGUAAAGCUCUGUCUUUUGGGACGAUAAUGACGGUACCAAAGGAGGAAGCCACGGCUAACUACGUGCCAGCAGCCGCGGUAAUACGUAGGUGGCAAGCGUUGUCCGGAUUUACUGGGCGUAAAGGAUGCGUAGGCGGAUUUUUAAGUGAGAUGUGAAAUACCCGGGCUUAACUUGGGUGCUGCAUUUCAAACUGGGAAUCUAGAGUGCGGGAGAGGAGAAUGGAAUUCCUAGUGUAGCGGUGAAAUGCGUAGAGAUUAGGAAGAACACCAGUGGCGAAGGCGAUUCUCUGGACCGUAACUGACGCUGAGGCAUGAAAGCGUGGGUAGCAAACAGGAUUAGAUACCCUGGUAGUCCACGCCGUAAACGAUGAGUACUAGGUGUAGGAGGUAUCGACCCCUUCUGUGCCGCAGUUAACACAAUCAAGUACUCCGCCUGGGAAGUACGAUCGCAAGAUUAAAACUCAAAGGAAUUGACGGGGUC